rnacentral:rRNA from 1 species
GACGAACGCUGGCGGCGUGCUUAACACAUGCAAGUCGAACGAAGUGGCGAACGGGUGAGUAACGCGUAAUCAACCUGCCCUUCAGAGGGGGACAACAGUUGGAAACGACUGCUAAUACAGCAUACUGAAGGAGGGGAUUGCGUCUGAUUAGCUGGGUGGAGGGGUAACGGCCCAACAAGGCGCAGAUCAGUAGCCGGUCUGAGAGUAUGAACGGACACAUUUGGACUGGGACAAGGCCCAGACCCCUACGGGACGCAGCAGGGGGGAAUCUUCCGCAAUGGACGAAAGUCUGACGGAGCAACGCCGCGUUAGUGAUGACGGCCUUCGGGUUGUAAAGCUCUGUUAAUCGGGACGCGGUACCGGAAUAGAAAGCCACGGCUAACUACGUGCCAGCAGCCGCGGUAAUAC